ensembl:lncRNA
GUGAGUCUUCGUGUUGUGAAAACCUAUAAUUUUGACGUGGUGUUGUAUAUUGCUGUGGGCUGCUGUGUAUUGCCGUGUGUCCUGUCAGAUAAACCCCCGCCUUCACGCACUUCGUCGCGGGAGGACAAGGAGACUGCUGGUCCUAGCCUAGUUCAGUACAGUAUAUGUUGUGAGCGUGCUUCAGAUCUCCGGAGAUAGCACGGUACGCUGUGUCCAGCCCAGAGGUGAAAGCCAUCCAAAGCAGAGUAACUGUGCUUUGUGUCCAAGUUGAUACCUGUGGAGAGGAAAGGAAAGAGAGAGUGAGUAACACAAGGAGAACCAGAGGGAACCUGUACUUACAGUACGCUGUGUUCAGCCCAGAGUUGAUACCUGUGGAGAGAAAAGGAGAGAGAGUGGGUAACACGAGGAGAGACCGAGGAAACCUGUACUUACGCCGCUGCCUGUGGAGAAAGAGAAAGCGAGUGAGCACCCAAGGAACGAACUGUGUGAACCAGUACUUACUGUGAGCUGCAAUCAGCGAAGAGCCGUUGCCUGUGGAGGAAGAGAAAGAGUGAGCACCUCGAGAACGAACUGUGUGAACCAGUACUUACCGUGAGCUGUAUUCAGCGAAGAGGAGGAAGAAGGAGGGCGCUACGGAUACCUAAGACUCAGGCCGGGGCCCGAGUCCCACGCCCCGGAUCCCCGUGGCCCCCUUGCUCCCUGACCUCUUCCCGGCCAUAGCCCAUCUGGAGGGCCGAGUCAGAGUUUAGUUUUAAUUGCCCUUUCCCUAUUCCCCAAGCUAUUUUUAAAUAUUUAAAUAAAGAUUGUUUUAUCACUUACUUGUUCUCGUGUUGUUUGGCCAUUGGGUUGGCUUUGGGGACCUCCUCGAGGU